rnacentral:rRNA from 1 species
AGUGAAUAGAUACCCCGGUAGUCCACGCCCUAAACGAUGUCGACUAGGUGUUCGGUGAGGAGACUCAUUGAGUACCGCAGCUAACGCGUGAAGUCGACCGCCUGGGGAGUACGGUCGCAAGAUUAAAACUCAAAGGAAUUGACGGGGACCCGCACAAGCGGUGGAUGAUGUGGAUUAAUUCGAUGCAACGCGAAAACCUUACCUACCCUUGACAUGUACGGAACCCUGCUGAGAGGUGGGGGUGCUCGAAAGAGAGCCGUAACACAGGUGCUGCAUGGCUGUCGUCAGCUCGUGUCGUGAGAUGUUGGGUUAAGUCCCGCAACGAGCGCAACCCUUGUCAUUAGUUGCUACGCAAGAGCACUCUAAUGAGACUGCCGGUGACAAACCCGGAGGAAGGUGGGGAUGACGUCAAGUCCUCAUGGCCCUUAUGGGUAGGGCUUCACACGUCAUACAAUGGUCGGUACAGAGGGUUGCCAAGCCGCGAGGUGGAGCCAAUCCCAGAAAGCCGAUCGUAGUCCGGAUCGCAGUCU